ensembl:ncRNA asRNA:CR45525 antisense RNA:CR45525
GCACUCACACACACACACACUCACGCACAUGCACAUACGCACAGCAACAAAAACAAAGCGAUGGCCAUCACAUCAUCAGUGGUGAUCAAAUCUAUAUCUAUGCAUGUGCACAACCAGCCACUGUCCACCGUCAACCUCCAACCACCCAACGCCCACUGACCGAGGAUUCGACGACCUUCCUUACCCACACAGCUGCAGCACUCCUCGUAGUUCUUGCCCAGGCAUUUGAGGCACUCCUUGCAGCAGGAGCAGUUCUUCAGCUCGCACUUGCAGCUCUGGGUGAGCAUGCACUUGGAGACGAUCGAGGCGCAGACGACCUCGUUGCAGGACUCCACGGUGCCGUAGAAGCAGACGAUGGCCAAUAGCACGAUGGUGCCCACUGUGAGCGAGCGCCAAAUUUCCAUGAUCGGCGGUGGCUGUGUGUGCGUGUGCGCGUGUGUGUGUAGGGAUUGGAAUGCGCUCUUUCCCGCAGUUAAGUGUUUGAGUGUGUGCGCGGGUGCAAUUACAACAAAACAACAAUUACAGGCACACAAGCACACGCAGAUUGGGCAUUUGAUUUGACUUGACUUGACUCGAUUUGCUCGCCUUCUUGCACCACUAUUAAUUUAUAUAUAUAUAUAUAUAUAUUUAUAUAUAUAUGAAUUAUCGCUAUGCGAUUCCGGACGGAUCAAAACAACAACAAGCGACACCACAACGAACACUAAACAGCAACAACUAGCGAGCGGAUCGAACUGUGCGCUGCGGCACUGACGUUGACGGCGGCAGAGGAGCGACUGCGCGGCGACAAUGUCUCUCUCUCGCCUUGUUUUUGUUAUUGCUAGGGCACAAACUGUCUUUUCUGCUUCUUACCCACACCUGAAACAACAACAAUAGAGCCAGGCUAGACACAAACAUGCACACACAUGCGCACGCACACGCGAAUUAAGCGCACACACACGCUCAGAAAGCAGGCUGGCUCACACGCACACACUAACAGUUACGAGCCAGCUUAGAAAUUCGAAUGAAUGAUACUGACGCCGGCGCCGCUGCCUUUUGUUGACAAUUCCGGUAUCCGAAUCAAAUAACUUCGUCUGAAUCUGGAGGAUCGGUUUAGAUCAGAUCGGCGGAUCACAGCGCACGCGUACGCCAACUGAAUGAUCAACUAGGCAAAGCAACAACACGAUUCGGCUCGAUACAUAGGUGUUUAUGUGCAAGUGUGUGGCGAUCGAGAGAUUGGAGAUGAGCGCAACUGCGACAGCAGUGAACGGGUUCUAAAAAAUCACGACUCGAAAUCACGAGACACUGAUCAAGCCAAAUUACUCGGUUUUUGCAUAAUACUUUU